ensembl:lncRNA
CUGCGUAACCAUGGUUACAGCGGGACGCUUUGGAGCCCUGCUGCUCAGCAGCUAAUGCUCAGUUAAUAUAUAAAUAUUCCAGCUCUAAAACCAAGUAAAAUAAAUAUACUGUAUAUGUGUAUAGUGUGCCGCGUAAGCGUUCAAUUUCUAAAAGAGGCUGUAAGACGGACAGAGUUAAAAGGUGACCGAUAGCAGCCAUACUGAGGGACCCUAAUUUUAUCCUGCUACAAACAUAUUCACCCAGUGUUAGUUAAGUUUCCUGUAAACUAAACAUGUAAAGCGGAUGUGAGAGAGGCUG